GAAAAUUGUUCGGAUUUACCACACAAAAAAGAAAAAAAAAAUGCAGGAUUUUCAAAUAAUUCGCAACCGAUUAUUGCUUAUUUCGCAACCAAUAAUUUUAAAUAAUUAAUUAUCUGCCAAUACGAAAUUUGAGUUUGCAACAGAUUAUUUCCACCGCGAAAAAAUAAUUCGCAAACCAAUAAUUUCAAAUAAUUCGUAACCAAAUAUCUAUAUUUGAGUUUGACACGUGGCAAGCAGAAAACCACGUGUCGGCUUCUCACAUAGGGUUUAUUAAGGGUUUUACUUUUAUAUAUAGUAAUAGAUAGAUAGAUAUGCUUCUGCGUUUUUUGGCGGGACCACAGAAAAUAUAUCGUAACCGAGUCAACGGAAUAUGCGGAAUGCAAUAUUACGUACGAAAACAAAUAUGGUAUUAACGCAAUCUCUUCGCAAUCCAAACCGAAGCAUAAUAAUGCUGUAGAUUUA
rnacentral:lncRNA from 1 species